rnacentral:sRNA from 1 species
AGCAGCCGCGGUAAUUCCAGCUCCAAUAGCGUAUAUUAAAGUUGUUGCAGUUAAAAAGCUCGUAGUUGAAUUUCGGGAUUAAUUUACUGGUCGUGCUAUUGUACGCACUGGUUUUAUUGAUUCCUCCCUUCUGACGAACUAUGAUGCCAUUAAUUUGGUGUCUUAGGGAAUCAGGACUGUUACUUUGAAAAAUUAGAGUGUUUAAAGCAGGCUCACGCUUGAAUACAUUAGCAUGGAAUAACGGAAUAGGACGUUUGAUUCUAUUUUGUUGGUUUCUAGGAUCGACGUAAUGAUUAAUAGGGAUAGUUGGGGGCAUUAGUAUUCAAUUGUCAGAGGUGAAAUUCUUGGAUUUAUUGAAGACUAACUACUGCGAAAGCAUUUGCCAAGGAUGUUUUCAUUAAUCAAGAACGAAAGUUAGGGGAUCGAAGACGAUCAGAUACCGUCGUAGUCUUAACCAUAAACUAUGCCGACUAGGGAUCGGAUGAUGUUAA